GACGAACGCUGGCGGCGUGCUUAACACAUGCAAGUCGAACGGAAAGGCCCUGCUUUUGUGGGGUGCUCGAGUGGCGAACGGGUGAGUAACACGUGAGUAACCUGCCCUUGACUUUGGGAUAACUUCAGGAAACUGGGGCUAAUACCGGAUAGGAGCUCCUGCUGCAUGGUGGGGGUUGGAAAGUUUCGGCGGUUGGGGAUGGACUCGCGGCUUAUCAGCUUGUUGGUGGGGUAGUGGCUUACCAAGGCUUUGACGGGUAGCCGGCCUGAGAGGGUGAGCGGCCACAUUGGGACUGAGAUACGGCACAGACUCCUACGGGAGGCAGCAGUGGGGAAUAGUGCACAAUGGGCGGAAGCCUGAUGCAGCAACGCCGCGUGCGGGAUGACGGCCUUCGGGUUGUAAACCGCUUUCGCCUGUGACGAAGCGUGAGUGACGGUAAUGGGUAAAGAAGCACCGGCUAACUACGUG
rnacentral:rRNA from 1 species